ACUAACUAAAAUAAUUUCAUUUCACUCAAAUAAUCAACAUGGCUUAUGAAUUUCUUAAGAAUUUGGCUCGUGCCAAAACUCAUUCUCAGGGAUACCUUGGUCGGGCCAUCCAACCGAGUCCACCAAGACUGUUAAAGAAAAGUUUAUAUACGCAUAAGACACAUUUUUACGUUUAAAAGCAUAGUCGUUCCUUGGCAUUGGCUGAGUUCACCCUCACGUGGUGGUUUAAUGUGUAGUGAACUCUAAAGAUUUACCUCAGGAGAUACCCUCUGCGCCUCUCGUACCGAGGUAAAAUAUAACCGGGUUUACCGUGCCUCUCUCUAAUAGGCUGGUCCACGGAAACCCGCCACUGCAGUGACUAAUCAAUAUCCCACCAAAUCAAUAAAAGUUUCGAUAGCAUGACAUGGAAAUUAUAUAACUAUCUAGUCUGUUAAGGCAAAACAAACAAUUCAUACAAUUUCAACACAAUUUCCAAUUCAGCCAUUCAUGCCAAUAUCACCAUAAGCCAUUCAAUUCAAACCAUAAAUUUACAACACAAUCAAACAGUCUUCAAUCACUCAAUUUCAAAAAUCAUCAUUCAAUUUCAAAAUGAUUUAUAAACUCAUUUCAUUUAAUCACAUUUUACUUAUAAAACAUAAGGAUUUACCAUUUAAACUCAUUUAAUCACAAAAACGAAUAAAAACUACUUUAGAUAAUUAAGACGAUAAUAAGGUUACUCACAAUAUCGGGAGUCAAAGUACUCCUAGUCCCGAUCUUUGGGUACAAUCUCCUUACCCUUAUCGAAAGUUUCACCACCUAAACAUAAUGCACAAUAAACAAUUUACUAUAUUUGUACUAAAUUGUUAUAAAACUAAUUUAGGCUCUAUAUGAAUGCAUGAAAUGGGAUGCAAAAUGUUCGGAU
rnacentral:lncRNA from 1 species